AAAUCUGCAAAGCAAAAUAAGCUCUCUUGUGUCCAUUGACUGAACAUUCCCACUAUGACUUAUGAGGGUGGUAUGAGUGAAAAUCUGUCUGCUGUGGGAGUGUUUACAGAGUAAACGGAGGCAUUGCUCACCACAGAAUGAAGUUGUUGCCAGUCGACUCCGUUCAAGAGGUGGCGCCCAUUUGGACCACAUCCCAUGGCAUGCUGGGCCCUGCAGGAUGCGCACAAACAUGACACAGCCGUAGUGCACCCUGGCUGCUGACGGGAUGAACAUGUUGAGCACUGAUGUCAGGAAAAUGGCUGCUCCAAACACCCUGCAAGAGUACAGUGAGGAUUCAGUGGAGAAGAAGACAGGAGGAUGAUGUUGAAGUAUUCCUCAAUGCUCAAAGCAUCAUGCAGCCAAAGCCUGUGGAGCUGGGAUCAUCUCCAGAUUAAAAAAAAAAAUUAAACACAGUUUUGAGAGAGACAGAUUAAUAAGGACCAGAGUAAAUGACAGUGUAGAAUCCAGGUUUCAGUCAGGCAUUGUGAGUCUCCUUUUGUCUGCAGCUGAACUGAAUGGACGGCUUAGAUCUCUUCAUCUCAUAACUCAUCCAUUCCUGGCGAGGAGGGGCAGGUGUAGCUGGUUUUCCAAACCCUGCCCCUUCGUAUACACAUCAUCAUCAUUAUCAUCUCCAUGGCACCACCCCUUCAGCUAGUUAGGUCCAUCUGAUAGCAGUUCAGAGGACCAACAAUUAAAAUAUGCAUGAGCUUGACAAGUUGCAUUGAGGAAAGACAGGAGAAGCUUGACUGCCGUGGUGUAAAAAUGAAGCCGCUGAAACCUGACACUAAGCCGUUAAGUUCCAGGCUUAAAAUCAUGACUGCAAUUAACAGUUUUUAUAUUUAUGAGGCAAUGGUAGAAAUAAUAAUUUCUGUCAUACAGCUGUAUAGUUCAUAGACAGGAAAGGCAAGUUUAUUUCUAUAGUACAUUUUAGCAUCAAGACAAUUUAAAGUGCUUCACACAAGACAUCAGAGGUGAUGCGAUCAAUAAUUAUAGCACAGAAAGAAAAUUAAAAAGAAAACAGAAGGUUA